rnacentral:misc_RNA from 1 species
AACGGCUUCAGGCAUUUGCUUAUGAAGCUCCUCCGUUCCCAUUCAAAACGUAAAAAUACUAGCAUCUAAAAGUCCACGCCUUUCAUCUAUUGUCUUUGUCGCACAGAGACAACAUAAAAAAAGCCAGAUGACUACCGUCUUGUUUUGUUUUCUUAUGGCCACUGGAAAUUAAAGAAAAUUAUAAUAAUAUAUAACAAUCUAUUAUCUUUUUGUCUUCUGAAAUGGAUCUCUGAACCAACCAAAGUUGACGAGAAUGCCAUUUCCGAUGUCUUUUUCUGAAUUCUUUGGUGUUUGAUUUUUCUCCCCGGUACAGCGAGCUCACUAAAUUCUGUUGCAGACAGCCUCUCAUUUCAAAACCUUUAUCCUUUCUUGACUAGAGAGUAUCCUUAUCCGAUAUCUUUCUCUCUUGGAUUUAGUAUUAGUGGUGCUUGUUUCAUUCUGACUCCCGAGCUCCAGCGUCUAUGGGAUUUUGCUAUUACUCUGUUUGGUAACCUGGGGCAUUGAAUGAUGUUGCUGGUAAGAUUUUGUGGACCUCUUUUCUUGGUGUCAUAUUGUUCCUUGGUUUUUCUUGCAGUUGCACGAACUUCUAUUACUGAUCCCUCCGAAGUCAAUGCAUUGCUAGCAGCAAGGAACAGUUUGAUUGAUCCUUUUAAGCAUCUCGAGAACUGGGAUAAAGGAGAUCCAUGUACGUCAAAUUGGACUGGAGUCGUGUGUUAUGAUACAAUUGGGACUGAUGGCUACCGGCGUGUUCAGGAGCUUCAGCUGCUAAAUAUGAAUCUUUCAGGAAAUUUAGCUCCUCAGCUUGGCCAACUCUCUCAACUGAAAAUACUGGAUUUUAUGUGGAAUGAAUUGGAUGGCAGCAUACCAAAGGAAAUAGGAAAUAUUUCAUCUUUGAGACUCCUGCUUUUGAAUGGAAACAAAUUAUCAGGUGCUUUACCUGAUGAACUUGGCUGCUUAUCUAAUUUAACUAGACUCCAAGUGGAUGAGAACAAAAUUUCAGGUCAAAUACCAAAGUCAUAUGCAAACUUGAGCAGUGUGAAACACCUCCACUUGAACAACAACUCCAUAAGUGGUCAAAUUCCAUCUGAGCUAUCCAAAUUGUCCUCUCUUCUUCACUUGCUGUUGGAUAACAAUAACUUAUCCGGGAAUCUUCCUUCAGAGCUCUCGAACUUGCCAGAGUUGCGUAUACUUCAACUUGACAACAAUAACUUCAGUGGGUCUGAAAUUCCAGCUACUUACAGAAAUCUUUCCAAAUUAGUAAAAUUGUAGAAGUCUUAGAAAUUGCAGCUUGCGUGGAGCUAUUCCUGACUUUAGCAGCAUUCCUGACCUAUCCUAUUUGGAUCUGAGCUGGAAUGACCUUACUGGAACCAUACCAUCAAAACUUUCUGUUAAUAUGACAACUGUUAAUUUGUCAGACAACCAUCUUAAUGGAUCUAUACCAGGAAGCUUCUCAAACCUUCCUAUUCUUCAGAGACUAUCACUAGAAAAUAAUUUGUUUACUGGUUCUAUCCCGGCUAACAUCUGGCAGAACAGGUCCUUCAACACAAAUGAUAGGCUUACACUUGAUCUGAGAAACAAUUCACUCUCAAAGAUUUUAGGGAAACUAAAUCUGCCACAUAAUGUCACCCUGAGGUUGGGAGGCAAUCCUGUCUGCAUUGAUGCCAACAUAUCAAACAUUGACCAGUUCUGUGGAUCUGAAGCUGAAGGAGAUGGAACUACUGAAAGCUCAACAAAUUAUACAACUACAUGUCCUAUUCAAGCAUGUCCAGUAGAUAAUUUCUUUGAAUAUGUCCCAGAAUCCCCUGUACCAUGCUUUUGUGCAUCCCCACUUAGAAUUGGAUACCGGCUUAAGAGCCCUAGUUUCUCUUAUUUUCUUCCAUAUAUUUAUCUAUUUGAGAAAUACUUAACUAGUGCUCUUAAAUUGGAACCCUAUCAGUUAUACAUCGAUUCAUUUAUUUGGGAGGAAGGUCCCCGUGUAAAGAUGUAUUUGAAGCUUUUUCCUGCAUGGAAUGAUGAACAUUCACACAUAUUUAAUUCAACUGAGGUUCAGCGGUUAAGACGCAUGUUCACAUCAUGGAAUUUUCGUCGCACUGACUUUUUUGGACCAUAUGAGCUUCUCAACUUCACUCUAGUGGGACCUUAUUCAGAGAUGAAUUUUGGCACCCAAAGGACAAGAAUCAGUAAAGGUGUUUGGGCAGCCAUUAUAUUAGGUGCUAUUGCUUGCACUGUUGUAGCAUCUACAAUAGUCACACUUCUGAUUGUAAGAAGAAAUGCUAGAUACCAUCAGAAUCUGUCAAGGAAAAGAUUGUCCUCAAAGAUAUCAAUGAAAGUUGAUGGGGUGAAAUUCUUCACUUUUAAAGAAAUGGCCCUGGCAACUGACAAUUUUAACAGCUUAGCUCAAGUUGGUCGAGGAGGCUAUGGAAAGGUUUAUAGAGGCAUUUUAUCUGACAACACAACUGUGGCCAUAAAGCGUGCUGAACAAGGUUCCUUGCAAGGACAAAAAGAAUUUUUUACUGAAAUUGGAUUGUUGUCUAGGCUACAUCACAGAAAUCUAGUUUCAUUAAUUGGAUACUGUGAUGAAAAAGGGGAGCAGGUAAUUAUUGCAAUGGCGAACUCUCUGGUGUCAUUGUUUGCAAUUGUUUGCUUGAUGGCUUUUUAGAUGCAAUGAGAAGGUUAUUUGAAUAUUGUGAGGUUUUUUUCCAUGAUGGGUAUGUGGAGUUGGUGGAUUGUUCGAAAUUCUCUUCUGAGAACAAGGCUCUUAUGGCUGUUCGGCAAUGCAUUGUAAUUUUUAAACAAUCAGCCACUCUAAGACUAUGACAUUUGAACAUUUCUUUCUUCUCGAGUAAAAUAGCAGUAAAGAUCCUGGCCUGAUAACUUUAUUUGGCAACUGAAGUGAUGCUGCAAUGACAGUUUAGGUCCUUGGCUCCUUGCCAUCUCAUUCAUCGAGUAAUAUUUUCAUGCUUUGAGUUUUCAGCCUGAGAAGAUAUCCUCUCUCUGUCAAUUAUAAAAAAAAAAAGCAUCAAUUAUUCCAAGUCUCAUCAAUCAGGAUAAUUUGAAUAGGGAUGCUGCAUUCUCAAAUGGAUUAUGGAGAACCUAGGAAAAUUCACUCUUCUUUGCUGAGUCAUGCUUUACUAUUAAGCCACAUUUAUUGAUUUGCAAUUCUACAGACAGGCAGGGAUUGACUUAAUUGUAGAUAACAUUUGCCUUCUUGCAUUUUUUGUUCUUUGCAGAUGCUGGUGUACGAAUUCAUGCCCAAUGGCACCUUGAGGGACUGGCUAUCAGCUAAAGCUAAAGAAAAACUGAACUUUGGUAUGAGGUUAAACAUAGCUUUGGGUUCAGCUAAGGGCAUUCUUUACCUUCAUACUGAAGCAAACCCUCCAGUGUUUCACCGGGAUAUCAAGGCCAGCAACAUACUUUUGGACUCCAAACUUAUCGCUAAAGUUGCUGACUUUGGACUCUCACGUCUUGCUCCUGUCCAGAAUGAUGAAGGGACUUUGCUUAACCAUGUAUCCACAGUAGUGAAGGGAACUCCGGGAUACAUUGAUCCAGAAUAUUUUCUGACCCAUAAGUUGACAGACAAGAGUGAUGUCUAUAGCCUUGGGAUUGUAUUUCUGGAGCUCUUGACAGGAAUGCAUCCAAUAUUUCAUGGCAAAAACAUUGUCCGAGAGGUAGCGAUGGUUCAUCGGGCAGGUAUGAUGUUCUCCGUCAUAGACAGCAGAAUGGGUUCUUAUCCGUCUGAAUGUGUGGAGAGAUUUGGGUCUCUGGCCCUUAGGUGUUGCCAUGACACGCCAGAGAAUCGGCCAUCGAUGUUGGAGGUGGUCAGGGAGCUAGAGAACAUACUCAAAAUGAUGCCAGAAACUGAUGCCAUGUUUUCAGAAUCCAUGUACCCAUAUUCUGGCACUUCAGCAUCAUCAUCUUCAUUUUAUACAAGCAUCAAUCCAUAUGCUUCAUCCAGUGUUUCAGGAAGUGAUCUUAUCAGUGAUGUCACCCCCACCAUCAAUCCUAGAUGACAUUGGAGAUAAUCAAUAUACGUUCUUUAUCUUUUCCAAAUCCUCUCAAAAUGAGUGCAGUGUCUAAUGUGCAGUUGAGGCAGCUGCAAAGUGCGUGUCAUUCCACCAUUCUUCCUGUUUAUCCAUUGCAACAGAGGACAUUAGUGUAUAAUGUACAAAGUCUAAUCUAAACUGAAAUGAAACCUUACUAUUAACAAGUUGAAAGGAGACAAAUUAAUAUAUUCAUGUUUUUCUUAAUUAGUUGAUAAAGUCUAAACUAAC